rnacentral:siRNA from 1 species
GGAGAUUGAUUCGGAGAUGGU